rnacentral:lncRNA from 1 species
GAAGCAUCGCUCUCCGUUCACUCACGCCGUUUGAUCCACCACACGCACACACUUUCACCCUAACCCUACCGGCUACUUCCUCAAUCGUCCAUCUCAGCCAUCGUCUAAAACAUCUCAUGACGGAAAGACCACCGAUGAGGAUAAACGCUGUUGUUGAUGUUAGGUUUAGCGAAGGAUUGCUGCUGAUCCUUACGGCUCUGGAGGUUUUGGAUAACUUGAUGAGUGCUUGGAGUUGAUUUCGAAGUCGAUUAAGAACUUUAAGGUGCUGGUAUUAUCUUUUUGUGAGGGUUUCAGUACUGAUGGACUUGCUACUAUUGCCGCCAAUUGCAGAACAUUCAUUAUUGAUUAGGGUCUUUUUGAGAUAUAGAAAUUGGUACCUGGUAUUGGUUCUAUGCAAGUUGCAACUGUUUUGCUUUUAAUCAUUUAGAAUAUAUGAACUUUUUCAUUUAUUUCGGAAUUGUAUUGAAUUCGUUUAUUACAACUGUUAUAGAUCGGAAUGACCAGCCAACAUGUAUGAAGCUGCACAAUGGGAAAAAAAUGUGGUGUGAUAUAAAUCAACAAUAAUAAUAUAAGACCCCCCUAAAAAAACUAAAAAUUCUCCAUCCCCAUUAGGAAAGAUGCAAGGUUGUAGAAAACAUCACUUCUGGUUGUAUCUCAUGGAACCGUCACAUUUUUCCAUUUGGCCACUUGGAUGAGUUGGAUUGUUUAUUAGAAGCUUUUAAAUAGUUAAUAUUUUAUGUGACUGCCUUAUCUGGUACUGGUUUCACGUGUUCAACUUGGUUGAGUUGAGUUGAGCAUUACUUUAUAAUUUUGUGGUUUUAAGUUUUUGGUAAGAUAAUUCUAGGAUAGAUUGAAAGUGGAAACAAAAAAUAACACAUGGAUUUGACGGAAUCAAGUUAUGAGGCAAUUCCAUUAAGUUUAAACCUACUUUUACUAUUUGAUAUCUUAAUAUUUCUUUUAUAUUUUUUAUUAAUUAAUUUCUUCAUGUUAAUGUUCAUCUUUCAUGUGUUGGCACAUUAGGCUACUAUGUCCAAUCUAAUAUAUUGAAGUUGUCAUUCCAUGUACAAUUCUGUAUUUAUUUCAUGUUCUAUAAUUUAUUUUGACAUCUAAAUUCAUAAUUAUGUGAUAAGCUAUACAUAUAUGAGGCGGCGCCUCAAUGCUAGGUUUUAUACGUACGCCUUAGUGGUUUGAGUCGCACGUUUCGUUUUGAGGCGGAACUGUAUUGUAGAGGCGUACAUUUCUAUAUUAGGCGGGAUAAAGGGUUCAUCAUUUUUUAAGGUCCCACGGAUGUUAAAUUGGUAAUCCACUUCUACAAAAACUUUAAUUUUCCUUUUAUAUCAUUCUAUUAAGAACAAUUUAAAUAGUUUUACAUUCUUUAGUUUCUAUGUUACUAAUCGAGUAGGAUCUAAAAGGAUUGAAUUCUCGGAAGAUAAGGUACAUGGUAAUUAUGUGUUUAGUGGAUUAGAAAGUUGAAGGAGUCACAGUUAACCAAGGAUGUUGCUGCCAAGAAAGAACUUACAAGUGAAGUGGACCAAGGUAAAAUAAACUUACAAGUGAAAUAGACCAAGGUAAAUUAGUUUUAAGAAGCGGGUUGAAUAAUGACACAAAAUGGGUUUGAGAUAUUAUUGUUAGGUGUUUUGCACUGUACUUGAUGUGGGCUAUUUGUUAUUAGUCAUCUUUCUCCUUGUAUUUAGUAUGAGGUAAGAAAAAGUAGUUAUUAUAGGGUAAGGGUGCUCUGUUUUUUUUAAUUUUCCCAUUUUCCAAACCUUUUGCAUGUUUUGAAGCAGGCGUAACUAGCCUUUGUUCCAGCAUAUUUACAGUGAACAUGGUUC